GAUGAACGCUGGCGGCGUGCCUAAUACAUGCAAGUCGAGCGAACAGACGAGGAGCUUGCUCCUCUGACGUUAGCGGCGGACGGGUGAGUAACACGUGGAUAACCUACCUAUAAGACUGGGAUAACUUCGGGAAACCGGAGCUAAUACCGGAUAAUAUAUUGCACCGCAUGGUUCAAUAGUGAAAGACGGUUUUGCUGUCACUUAUAGAUGGAUCCGCGCCGCAUUAGCUAGUUGGUAAGGUAACGGCUUACCAAGGCAACGAUGCGUAGCCGACCUGAGAGGGUGAUCGGCCACACUGGAACGGAGACACGGUCCAGACUCCUACGGGAGGCAGCAGUAGGGAAUCUUCCGCAAUGGGCGAAAGCCUUACGGAGCAACGCCGCGUGAGUGAUGAAGGUCUUCGGAUCGUAAAACUCUGUUAUGAGUGAAGAACAAAUGUGUAAUUAACUAUGCACGUCUUGACGGUACCUAAUCAGAAAGCCACGGCUAACUACGUG
rnacentral:rRNA from 1 species